GGUCCUGCAAAGAUCCCCGCCCCGCCGAGGGCGCCCUUAGCGGAAGCGUUAACUGCAGUUUCUGCGUCCCCAAAUCUGAAGUUUCGGACCUUUGUAAAAACUGCGUCAGACUAAAAAAAAGGCAGCAAAGAAUGAUAAAAGGAAGAGAGAAACUUUCCAGGCUGGGAAGUGCCAAAGUGAAGAAAAUUGGAAAAGCUGAAUGAAAAUCAGAGACAGAACACCACAGAAAGGAAGAAGCUGAAAUUCCACAGAACCUGGAAUAUAAGGGAGUGACAGAGGAGCCCAGGACCAAGGAUCACUGCCUCCAGUCUCCGAACACCAGUAUUCUGGAAGAAAGCAUCACCUUUUUGACACCUUGAUUUGAACUUUCUCUUCGCUUUAAAACCACAAGUAAAUAAAUAAUUCCCAUUGUUUAAGCCGACCUAUUGCAUGGUAUUUGCAUGGGCAGCCUAGGAAAUAAAACAGAUGGGUUCAAAAAUCCAAGAAUUUUUGUUAUGCCUUUGAAGGAGCCAAGACUAGGUACUUCAGUCAGCUAUUGCUCUAUAACAAAAAAACACAACAUCUUAAAGGUACAUAACAAUAAGCAUCUAUUAUUCAAGGAUCUGUGUGUGCCAACUCGAAUGUUGACCAUUCUAGGCCAAUGUUAACUGCAUGGCUGUACUAUAAACUGUGGGUACAGCUCAGUUUGGUUCUUUGGCUACUUUGCUUCAGGGGCUCUGAGUAGUUUGAAAUAUGUUUCUUUUGGGGCCACAGAUGAAAGGACAGCUCCACCCACAGGAAAAUUCCUCUCAUGAAGAUGAUCAAGGUACAUGAGGGCAAGUCUAACCAUGCAGGUAUACUUAAAGCCCAGUUUAAAACAUACCUGUUAAUAUCACAUUGACCACGGUCAUUCUCAUGCUCUCACCCAAAGUCAAGGGGCCUGGAAGUACACUCCAUUUCUUUGGGAGGAAUUGCAAAACUAUUAGAGGGCAUGGAUACAGGAAAGUAUGAAGAAUUGAGGUCAAUAUUUUAAUCAUAUUAGGAGUCAAUGCAUAUUUAUGAAUUUUAGAAAUUAUUGUUCCAUUCCUCUUUAUGUUAAACCUUACUGCAUUUCAUAUUAAAGCCAACAAGUUAUCAAAUUUAUAAAUUACACACUGAUCUGGCAUUAACAGGGGGGCCUUGAUGUUGGUAGGAGCUGCCCUGGCACCCACAGCUAAGCCAUGGUGUUCUCCUGUUGAAUAUAAGCAAUUCCCCAGAAUGCCAACAAGAGACAAGGCCACCUGUAAACAUAAUGACACAAGAUAAAACCAAGAACAGUCCCUACCAUGUCUAAGCAUGGAUAAAAACAAGAACAUUGUCCAAAUCACAAAAAUGACCAAACAUCUCCUCCUUCCUGGCUAAUAUGAGUGAUUGCUGCUUCGUUACCAAUUACAGCUAUGGUCCUGCUUUGUUCCUCUUACUUUCUAGAUAGAAAUUAUUAGAAUAUGCAAUCAUAAAGUUACUGAGGCCCUCAUGGUUCCCAUGGUGUUUUGUCUCCUGCAAUAAGCCAAUAAAUCCAAGUUUGUUCAACUGCAGGUGUGGUCCUGUUGGUCUUUGGCAAGAAAUCAUUAAUAAGCUUGAAUUUUGGAACAGUAGCUAUCACAGAGAUGGAAGCUGCUAACCUUUAUGGGGCUUCCCCCCAUUGCCCAUCACCAAUACAAGUAAAAGACAGAUGGGUUAAAUUAAAAAGUUGAAUGCAAUCACUGCAUGUCAUACACGUAACAAAUUUUCCCAGUUUACUGUAUUUUAACAUUGCUAUAUUUUUGUUUAGCUAUUAGCCAAAUGAAAGUUUUUAAACUUUUUAUGUAACAGCUUUAGCAACAUUUUCCUUUGUGAUUUUUCUAAUACAAUAUAGUCCCAUAGUUUCUAUUAUUCUGGAAUAACAUAGUUUAUAUAACCAAUCCCUCACUGAUUAUACAUUAUGAUGUUACUGAUAUUUAUUAAAUAAAGAGUGCUGUGUUGUAUAUUACUGUAGCAGCUAAGUAUUUACAUAUGUCCUGUUUGGGGAGAAAAAUUGGUAACAGUGGAAUUCCUGGGUUGAAGAGCAUAUACACCUUGAAGACUUUUGAUGCAAAUCAUCAGUGGUCCUCCAGAAAGGAUUUCUGAUUUACACUGUCUCCAAUACUUAUUAGCAAACAAAUAUCAAAAAUCAUUGCACUAAUUUCCAUUAUUAGAAAUGAUUUAUUCACUGUGUAUAUUGUAUAUUGCCUGUCUCUUCUACCAGCACUAAUAAUAAUGAAAAUGGUAUGUUUUUGUUUUGUUUCAUGGUGUGGCUUAAGCACCUGAAACAGUGCCUAGUGCAUGGUAGGUGUUCAACAAACAGUUGUUGGAAAAAAGGUGACAGAUGCUGUAAGAAAAAGCAAGCACGGGAAGGGGAUAGGGAGCAGUGAUAGAGGAAGCCCCAGUGGAAGAGUAUCACCUCAGCAUCUGACUUACCCUUUUGUAGAAUCCACUGCUGCUGAGUUGAGACAGAUUGUAACCAGAUGAAGUGGGAAGCACAGAGACAAGUUAGGAGGCUUGUUGAUGGUGACGUGGACCAUAGUGGCAACGGUGGAAGCAGUGAGAAGUGAUUUAUUUUUAAGGAAGAAACAUUCAGAGAAUUCAAGUGAUUAUAUAAAGUUAUCUAUUUGAUAUACAUAUGUGCCAGUUUGAAUAUAUUGUGCUCCCCAAAGGCCAUUAUCUUUGAUGUAAUCUUGUGUGGGCAGAUGUUAUCAGUACUAAUUAGAUUUCUUUGAGUGUUUUGGAAUGUGCCC